rnacentral:snoRNA from 1 species
GUGCCUGAGUUCCCUAGCAUUCCCAGAUGAGCCUACAAUAUUUACUUGCUAUGAUCAAGCCAAUGUGGGUGGUGUUGCUUGCUUAGAAUCUGAGAUUAUGAAAAAAUUCUAGGAAAAAUGAGGGCAUAGAAUCUGCUC